rnacentral:tRNA from 1 species
GCCCUGGUGGCUCAGUGGUUAAAGUGUUUGGCUGCUAACCAUAAGUUCAGCAGUUCAAACCUGCCAGCUGCU